CCUACGGGUGGCAGCAGUGAGGAAUAUUGGUCAAUGGGCGGAAGCCUGAACCAGCCAAGUCGCGUGAGGGAGUAAGGCCCUACGGGUCGUAAACCUCUUUUGCCGUGGAGCAGUGCCCAGCUCGUGAGCUGGGAGGGAGCGUACCCGGAGAAAAAGCAUCGGCUAACUCCGUGCCAGCAGCCGCGGUAAUACGGGGGAUGCGAGCGUUAUCCGGAGGUAUUGGGGUUAAAGGGUGCGUAGGCGGGCCUUCAGGCCGGCGGUAAAAUUGCGGGGCUCAACCCCGCCGAGCGGUAGGAACCGGGGGCCUUGAGGACCGGAGAAGUACGCGGAAUGCGUGGUGUAGCGGUGAAAUGCAUAGAUAUCACGCAGAACCCCGAGUGCGAAGGCAGCGUACCGGCCGGUCACUGACGCUGAGGCACGAAAGCGCGGGUAUCGAACAGGAUUAGAUACCCUUGUAGUC
rnacentral:rRNA from 1 species